AACGUAGGAGGCAAGCGUUAUCCGGAAUGAUUGGGCGUAAAGCGUCCGCAGGUGGCAAUGUAAGUCUGCUGUUAAAGAGUCUAGCUCAACUAGAUAAAAGCAGUGGAAACUACAUAGCUAGAGUACGUUCGGGGCAGAGGGAAUUCCUGGUGUAGCGGUGAAAUGCGUAGAGAUCAGGAAGAACACCAGUGGCGAAGGCGCUCUGCUAGGCCGUAACUGACACUGAGGGACGAAAGCUAGGGGAGCGAAUGGG
rnacentral:rRNA from 1 species